AUAUGGAUUGGCUCAAUAGUCCAUACGGGUUGGACUAAUCACGAAUCUGCGGACAGUGAUACAUUAUCUCUGGUUACUAUUUCACUGAAAGAAAAAAGUUAAUAACAUAAGGAAAAAGUAUAUAAAAUUAUGAAUUUAAUUAAAAAAAAAAGUAAUGCAAAGAAUUGGGUUUACCGAAGCAGUUGAGUUAAGUUAGCAGCCUUGGAGAAAUCGCCUUGUUCUCGUGCCUUGAGGAUAUUGAACAUCAGGCUGAG